rnacentral:ncRNA from 1 species
UGAAUACUGCCACCGGGUAGUGAAUCGCUGAUACAGCAUUCGCCUGCACAUCGUUAGGUCUUAGCAGAUGUGCGUGCGGAUGCUGUUUUGUU